rnacentral:rRNA from 1 species
GGGAUCGCCCUUCCUACGGGAGGCAGCAGUAAGGAAUAUCGGUCAAUGGACGCAAGUCUGAACCAGCCAUGCCGCGUGAAGGAUGAAGGUCCUCUGGAUUGUAAACUUCUUUUAUCUGGGACGAAAAAAGGGAAUUCUUUCCCACUUGACGGUACCAGAGGAAUAAGCACCGGCUAACUCCGUGCCAGCAGCCGCGGUAAUAAGGGCGAUCC